rnacentral:tRNA from 1 species
UAGAAGGUAGUACAAAGGGAGUACGCAAAGUUUUGGGCUUUGUGGUACAGGUUCAAGUCCUGUUUUCUAGG